rnacentral:rRNA from 1 species
UACGAAGGGGGCUAGCGUUGCUCGGAAUCACUGGGCGUAAAGCGCACGUAGGCGGCUUUUUAAGUCAGGGGUGAAAUACCUGGAGCUCAACUCCAGAACUGCCUUUGAUACUGAGAAGCUUGAGUCCGGGAGAGGUGAGUGGAACUGCGAGUGUAGAGUGAAAUUCGUAGAUAUUCGCAAGAACACCAGUGGCGAAGGCGGCUCACUGGCCCGGUACUGACGCUGAGGUGCGAAAGCGUGGGGAGCAAACAGG